rnacentral:rRNA from 1 species
CGUGUGGAUUGGUUACGAGAUGGGGAUCGUAAUACGAAAUUCUUCCAUCAAAGGGCUGUGUGGAGAGCAAAAAAGAACAAGGUAAAAUUCCUCCUUGACGACGCAGGUAAUAGGCAUGAGAAACAUGAGGAGAUGGGCAGUUUGUUUGACUCUUUUUUUCAGUCUCUGUUCACAUGUGAUAAAAGCCUUGUGCAGCAACCCCUUGUGCAGCUCUUUGAACGGACGGUCUCACAAGAAAUGAAUGACAUGCUAUGUGCAGAGUUUAGUGAUAAGGAGAUAGCUGAUAGCUUGUUCCAGAUCGGGCCCUUGAAGGCACCAGGUAUUGAUGGCUUCCCGGCACGGUUUUUUCAGAGAAACUGGCUGACAGUCAAAGAUGAAGUUAUACAUGCAGUCAAGGAAUUUUUUCGUACGGGAGUGAUGCCGGAGGGGGUGAAUGACACGGUUAUAGUGCUCAUCCCAAAAGUGGAUGAUCCAAUG